rnacentral:rRNA from 1 species
GUGGGGAAUAUUGGACAAUGGGCGAAAGCCUGAUCCAGCCAUGCCGCGUGAGUGAUGAAGGCCUUAGGGUUGUAAAGCUCUUUCAGUAGGGAAGAUAAUGACGGUACCUACAGAAGAAGCCCCGGCUAACUUCGUGCCAGCAGCCGCGGUAAUACGAAGGGGGCUAGCGUUGUUCGGAUUUACUGGGCGUAAAGCGCACGUAGGCGGAUUGGUCAGUUAGAGGUGAAAUCCUGGAGCUCAACUCCAGAACUGCCUUUAAUACUGCCAGUCUAGAGUCCAGAAGAGGUGAGUGGAACUCCGAGUGUAGAGGUGAAAUUCGUAGAUAUUCGGAAGAACACCAGUGGCGAAGGCGACUCACUGGCCCGUUACUGACGCUGAGGCGCGAAAGCGUGGGGAGCAAACAGGAUUAGAUACCCGAGUAGUCC